GUAGGUGGCAAGCGUUGUCCGGAAUUAUUGGGCGUAAAGCGCGCGCAGGCGGUCCCUUAAGUCUGAUGUGAAAGCCCACGGCUCAACCGUGGAGGGUCAUUGGAAACUGGGGGACUUGAGUACAGAAGAGGAAAGCGGAAUUCCAAGUGUAGCGGUGAAAUGCGUAGAGAUUUGGAGGAACACCAGUGGCGAAGGCGGCUUUCUGGUCUGUAACUGACGCUGAGGCGCGAAAGCGUGGGGAGCAAACAGGAUUAGAUACCCUGGUAGUCCACGCCGUAAACGAUGAGUGCUAAGUGUUAGGGGGUUUCCCGCCCCCUUAGUGCUGCAGCUAACGCAUUAAGCACUCCGCCUGGGGAGUACGGCCGCAAGGCUG
rnacentral:rRNA from 1 species